rnacentral:lncRNA from 1 species
GUUUCUCUUCAGAACCGAGUGUCUGUUUGGCCUCUGCCAGGUCAGGUUCAUCUGAGCCUCCAGCUUCAUUCUCUUUCAGGUCACAGAUGAUUUAAAAAGCCUCCAAACUUUACCUGCCAUUGUUAGAAGAGGAAACAAUGAGCUCCUCUGAUUCAACUGCGAAAGCCUUUAAUUAUUUGUAACUUCCUGUUUUGUAUGCAACCAUUCAUCAGUCCUCUGGUGAAUAAUCAUGACAAGACUUUGCAUUUAGAUGUAAUUUCGGCCAAAAGAUUUUAAUGUUAUGUUCUAUGUGGAAUAAGAUAACCUCACAUCUGGGCCACAAGGCCAUAUCACAGUCUUUUCUUCUGCGUUCUGAAAUACAGUAGAAAAAAAAAGGUUAAUCUUUCCAAUGAAUUCUGAAAGAUGUUUGCAAUUCAAGCGUGUAAUUCAUUAAUUCAUUUCAAUAUGUGGUGUUCUGGACUCUAUUGUAGUUAUUGUUGUGGGCAUGAAAAGAUUUGGGAUCUUUGCAUGUUGUGGUAAACCAGGCUCAGGUGCACAUCUCGUUUCCGACCCCUGCUUAGUUUUCCUGAAACUGGACUCUGGCUGCUACUUAAUAAAACAUCCUCUGCGCCGUUCGACGACCAGAGGCGCGCAAGAGGCGAAAGGCGACGCAAUCUCCCCGCCGAGCGCCGAGAUCCCGGGCUGAGAUUGAAGGAAGGAGCUCAAACACCCACCGGGAGCGGCAUGUUGAAGCCUCGGAAUCUCGGCGACGAGCCUCUGCUGCGCGACAGUCCGCAGGUGUUCGGGAAGCCCUGGUUCUGGCAGCGCUGCAGCGGCGCCGUGGACAGCAGCCGCGGCCUGGCGUGCGUCAUCAUGGAGAUGCGCGACGAGAUAAAAAAGCUGGAGGCGGAAAACCGGCAGCUGAGGGCGGAUUGUCAUCAGCUGUCAUCCGGGGAUGACCCCGGAGAGGCAGAGCAGCAGCCGGAGGAAAACCCGCACCUGAGGCGCAACGUGUCUGCGCCCGUCCUGAAGGGUCAAAAUCAAGAGACAACCAUCAUGACCGUCCGAAGAUACUCCGCAAACUGCAGCCUGGCUGGCGUGAGCGAGAGGGAGCGGGAGCGAGGGCCUGACCGAGAUCGGCGAUGCACAACCUCAGGCUGGAGAAGACUGGAACAAGAGAUCCAUCUGCAGGACAACAUGUACAGCAACCCCACCUCUGGAGAGGAGGAUCUGGUCCCCAGCAGAUGCUCCCUGCAGGAAUAUAUGCACAAAAACAGAGCCAAGGUGAAGACGGUCACCUUCCUUCUACCUGUGGACGACAUUUACACCAACAGGCCCGUUCUCAGCAAAGACCAGAACGGGUCCAGAAUCACAGAGCUGGCCUCUAUCAGUGAGACCGACUCUUGAGCGAAGCGAGCCAGAACUUUUUGCAUUCAGGAACUAAAAUACAAAGCGGGACAGCGCCUCCAGUCAGGUCACCAGACCAGUUUUAUCACACCGUGACCACAGAGGCACGAGACUCUGGUUACAGGUGUGGUUUUCAUUAGGGCCACGGAGAUCCAGGAACGUUCUCGGCAGUGAGGAUCAGAUGUCUGGGCUCUGAGUGGUGUGGUUUCUGGAACAGCUCUUUUAUAGAUGACUGCGGUCACUGACUCAGACUUUGUGUAAACAGAACCUCGUUUUUUAUUCACCUCUGUUUCUUCCGGCUGUGUGCAUAUCAUUAAGCUGUAAACACAGCAUUGUGCCCACUUUCACAUAUAUGCACCUGUGUAAAUACAACAGAAUCGGUUUGCCCUAAAACAAAUCAGCUUUAAGCUAUUUGCUAUGAUAAACAGUAUUAUUACAGAUUCAUGUUGUUAUCUAUUCUUUCUUUUUCCUUUAUGUAAUACAAUAAUUCAGGGUUUUAUGUGUUUCACAUUCACGUUUCUAAUAAUGUGUUGGUUUUAGCUAAUUUUAGCAAUGGAUUAAAGGGACAGCACACGUACAUUUAUUGCAUGUUUAAGGCAACAUCUAACCCUUAUGUACACAUUUAUUUACCCAGAAGUGAAGACAGAUAGGAUGAUGCAUGCAAAGGCUAGUUGGCUAUCUUGCUAAGAGGAGUGCUAAAUGGUUCACACAAAUGUUUGACAAUUAAGCUCAGAGAAGCACGCAGAGGCGGCUGUGGGUGUCCUGGUGAGCAGUUUCAGCUGCAGCUCUGCUCAUUUGUCCCACACCACUACUCUCUGUCUCCAUAAGGGCUGAGCAGGGCCGUGGUUCGCUGGGGUUAUCGUGGUACUUCAUCGGGAUCAAGUGUGCGUCAUCCUUGUGUUGCAUCUGAGAGCCUGUAGAACAGUUACAAAACAAGUGACAUUAAAAUGUUAAGAGUCAUUUAGAAUUAUGUGCUCAGACCUGAUCGAUCGUCCUGGCAACCAGUAAGACCCAUAAUCUGCUGCUCGGUGGCUCCUAGGUUCCUCUCCAGGAAGUAUGUGCUCAUUGUGCCUUUCCCCUUCACCUCAAUCUCUCCACGCUUCUGGAUAAGGUAGCUUUUAUCCUUCAAAGCUCUACAAAACACAAAGAGGCACAAGCCUGUCCUGCAACGAAUGUGCGUUUACACGUGAAUAUCCAGAGCCCUGCGUGCGCACUCACUGGUAGACCGUUGGGCUCAGGUGGAUUCGCUCGGGGAGGCUGUGACUCUCCAUACGUGACGCUGUGUUGACCGUGUCUCCGAACAGACAGUAUCGGGGCAUCUUCUCCCCAACCACACCUGCCAGGACUGGACCGCUGUGGAGACCCACGCGGAUCUAAGCAAUACAGGUAUUGAUCAGUCAGGGAUGCCUAAACCCAGUCCUUGAGGGGUACAAGCCAGGUUUUUUGUCCUGCCAGGCAGAAA